rnacentral:rRNA from 1 species
CAAGUGGAGCGACGAACCGGGCUUCGGCCCGGGGCAAAGCCGCGAACGGGUGAGUAUCACGUGGGUAACCUGCCCCGAUGACCGGGAUAACCCGAGGAAACUCGAGCUAAUACCGGAUGUGCUCCCAAUCCAUCAGGGUUGGGAGUAAAGGAAGCUUCGGCCUCCGCAUUGGGAUGGGCCCGCGGCCCAUUAGCUUGUUGGUGAGGUAACGGCUCACCAAGGCAACGAUGGGUAGCUGGUCUGAGAGGACGAUCAGCCACACUGGGACUGAGACACGGCCCAGACUCCUACGGGAGGCAGCAGUGGGGAAUCUUGCGCAAUGCGCGAAAGCGUGACGCAGCAACGCCGCGUGAGGGAAGAAGGCCUUCGGGUUGUAAACCUCUUUCAGGAGGGACGAAGGUUCAGGCGCGAAUAGCGUCCUGGACUGACGGUACCUCCAGAAGAAGCCCCGGCUUGCUACGUGCCAGCAGCCGCGGUAAUACGUAGGGGGCUAGCGUUGUCCGGAAUCAUUGGGCGUAAAGCGCGCGUAGGCGGCCCGGUAAGUCCGCUGUGAAAGUCAAAGGCUCAACCUUUGAAUGUCAGCGGAUACUGCCGGGCUAGAGUCCGGAAGAGGCGAGUGGAACUCCUGGUGUAGCGGUGGAAUGCGCAGAUAUCAGGAAGAACACCAACGGCGAAGGCAGCUCGCUGGGACGGAACUGACGCUAAGGCGCGAAAGCGUGGGGAGCGAACAGGAUUAGAUACCCUGGUAGUCCACGCCGUAAACGAUGGGCACUAGGUGUGGGAGGUGUCGACUCCUCCGUGCCGGCGCUAACGCAUUAAGUGCCCGCC